rnacentral:tRNA from 2 species
GGUCUAGUGGUGUAAUGGUUAUCACGUCUCGCUCACAUUUCAGUGCCGAGGAGGCUCGGAGUUCGAUCCUCCGCUGGAUCA